rnacentral:lncRNA from 1 species
AGAUUUCCUGGUGAACCUGCCUCUGUCUGAGAGGGUGUCUCACCGAACGGUAGCUAAAACCUCACCAGAACCGCGCGGAAGUGAGAAGUCGCGGCCAAAGGCGCCCGCAGAAGCCUCCUCUCUGGGCCGGACCCCAGCCCGAGCGGCCGAAAGGAGCCCCCCGCCCGGAUCACAGAAGUUUACAAGGAAAGGGGAAAUGUCUGAAAUGGAGAUUGCACAAUCCUGUCUUGAAGCAGAAGACUCAGCUAGAGCACAUCUGGAAACACCUGGCACUCCUCAAUAGAAUUCAAAUGCUAUUUUAAAAGAGUCCAUUUCUAAGAAGAUGUGGUUCGAACAUACAGAGCUACAUAAUAUGAGUAAAAUAGGACCUAACAGUAGUGUUCUCCAGCAUUGCUCUGCCUUUCCUUUUCUGGAUGUAACAACAUUACUAAGAAAGGAAGAAAAAGCAAAAAUCUGCUCUCGGGGAGAUUCCAGAAUGUUGGAAAGCCCCAAAUGGAAGUCUCUGCUUUGGUUACAGGACAUAAGGUUUAAUAAAUAAAAAGAUGCUCAUCUGGGAUGCUGCACCAAUUAUCAUGUACUAAAUAAGGUUACCUACUUCACUCUCCAGGUAGAAAUGUCUAUCAUAAGCAUGUGCCACAGAAGGUCUCUCAAGUAUCAUUAUUGGCUGUGUUGAAUUUUGUUUUUAGUUCUCUUUUAUAAGGUCUGUAGUCUUACUUUCAGUGAGGAAGUGUUUUCUCAGGUUCUCAAGAAAGUAACAAAAUGCCAGCAUUGUCAAGGUCACCAUUGCCACUGAAUUAUCUUACUGUCUGAUUAUUCCAUCUUCCUCUGCAUCAUAUUAGCCUGAUGACUACAUUCUAAUUAUUUAAAGCGUUAUGUAAAUCAAAGCAGUAAAUGUAAUUUCUAGUCUUACUAGAUAUCAUGUACAUUAGGUCGAAUAACUCUAGAAAUGUCGUCAUAAUCAUGUCAUGCCUAAUGAUGACCUACUCAGCCCCUGCCAACAUCAUUCAAUUACUCAUUUCAGUAUUGAUUUUUCUCAUGCCUCUCUUCGUGGCAUUUAAACAGCCCUCACAUCUCCCCUUUUACUGAGGUGUAAUGUUGUAUAAUGACAGAGAUGCUUUGCUUCCCAGAUUCAUAAUGUUACACUCUGUUUCAAAUCCUUUUGGAGACAAAUUGGGGAAUCAAUAUAUAAAUAAUGACACACUUAUUUUUAAUUAAAAUCACUGCUUUCACAGAAAUGGUAUAUUAAAAUUAUUUUUGCUAAAAAAAUUUUAAAUACCUAUGUACGAUAAAAAGACUGCCAAUCCUUGGGAUCAAGAAUAUAAUUUGCCCCAAAUAACUUUUCUGUAAAAGUAGAAUUCUUAAUGGAAAAUAGAUUAAUACAUAUAAUUUCAAGAUCUAACCUUAAAAAUGGAAAUAAUGUGUCCAUUUUUAAAAAUAAAUCAUAUUUACAUACACUGUGUUUAUGAGAGUUGUUUUGGAAUGAAACUUCUUUGCAUUUGAGAUCAAAUUCUUUUAUUCACAAGAAUUACAUUAUCUU